rnacentral:lncRNA from 1 species
CCGAGCUUCCUCAACAAAUGAUCCCUAUCUGAACUUCUACGGGAACCAGACUCCGACCGAACUUCUGUAGCGGACAGAUUCCGGACGAACUCCUACGACACACGGGCUCUAGCAGCCAGACCCCUCCAGCGGGUGAACCUCUCCAGCGACAUCCGACAUCCACUGCCGGUCGACCUUCUGCCGAAUUCUGCAUGGAACCGAACUUCGUCCACAGAAAGCCCC